rnacentral:sRNA from 1 species
AACCAGCCAAACACAGAGGUGAACAGAAAGAAAUGUAUGUUUAUAAAUCCAAGAAUUACUCUACGCUAGAAGAUAAGAAUAACCAUAGGUAGGCCUAAAAGUCCAGAUUAUAUUAACAGAGGCUGAAAAGUGGGAGAAAAGUGAGGGUCCUUCUCAUGAGGAGGAAGACAACUUUUCCUCAGUGUUUCAUACUCAAAUCCCUCCAGAAGAAUAUGAAAUGCAGAUGCAGAAACUCAAUAAAGAUUUUACCUGUGAUGUGGAAAGAAAUGAGUCAUUGAUCAAAUCAGGAAAGAAACCUUUCUCGAAUACAGAAAAGAUUGAGCUCAGGGGUAAACACAACCAGGAUUUUAUUAAGAGAAACAUUGAG